AUGCGCGGCCUGCUCCCUAUUCGUAGGAACCUGGCCCCGCCCACUACAGGCAUUUUCUCUUCGACUGCGCGGCCUCCAUAUUUGAGGGAACUUGACCCCGCCCACUACAGGCACCCCUUUCCCUUCUGCGUCUGCGCGGCCUCUUCCGUAUUUAAGGGAACUUGGCCCCGCCCACUACAGGCCCCCUUUCCCUUCUGCGUCUGCGCGGCCUCCGUCACAGGGCGGCAAGAUGGUUUCCCGGCCCGGUCCAUGGAUGUGUCAGGGUUGGCGACGGAAGGGACGGGUUGUGUGAUGGACCUGCCGGGACUUGGGGGCGGGGCAAGGGGCGCGGCCUGGCGCGUGAGAGCCGGGGAAGGGAACAGCCAAGAUGGCGGCCGGGCAGUGGCCCAUGUACAUGCUGGACUACGGCGGCCUCAAUGUUCCGCUUCCGGGAGCCAUGAAUUAUUCAGACCUCAGUUUCUGAACCAGAACCUCCGAACAAAAGAAAACAAAAGAAAUAAUGAACAGUGUGUAAUUUUCGUUUGUACAAAGUGUAUAUUAUUCCAAUAUGUAUUGAUGCCUUUCAGUUUUUCCAAUGAUUUUUACACUAUAUUCCUGCCGCCAGGGCCUUUUUAAAUAAAAAAAGAAUAAGAAGGGUUGCCUUGCUCUGAAAAAUCAAACCGUUUCCUGUUUUUUUUUUUUUCUCUUUAAACGAACAAAUACCGUUUUGUAAUAAACAAAAAUACAAAACAAGAGCCGGGCGAGCGAGCAAGGCUCAGUCGUAAAUGCUCUUUUUAAAUUGAAUUAUUAUUAUUAAUAAUAAAAGUGCUUUACAGUGAUUAUUUUGUUUCCGUGUGCGCGCAACCCAACAAAAGGCCCAACCCAGAACCCCGACCCCUUCCUUGGGUUUCGAUCUGCUUUUGACGGUUGUAGGCAAACGGCGCCGGGGGAAAAAAAGGCUCAUUUAUGUCACUGGAUUAGUCCGAAUUAGUUGCACAAAGAGAACGCUUUUCGGACCACAACGCCCAGCAUCCACAACUAAGGGUGUGUGACCCUAAAGACGGAAACUUUUUCCAAGUUCCAAAGAGCCCACAAGUGAAUUUUCCCUCGUUUCUUCUGGCCAAAAAUGGUCCCAAAAAGAAGAGCUGGAGACGGAGGGAAGGAAAGUCAGCUUGGCCAGAAAUAACAACGUUCCAGUUUUCUAUCCAAAACCCCGACUCUCUGAAAUGUAUUGGUUGGGCAAAUCCCACUUUUGUGUCUUUCUUCCCCUCCUCGUUUGUUUCUACUGCACAGGCCCAGGGUUUCACAUCACAUAUAAAGUUACGGAAAUAUAUGUAUACAUAUAUACAUAUAUAUAAAUUGGCACUCUGGUUUCAGCUCUUUCGUAUGUGUGCACACAGGUCCAGAGAGAACGUUUCAGGGCGUAUCAUUAGGAAUGUCUUCCGGGAAGAACGCAUGAUUCAAAAGUGGUUAUUAUGAUAGGAAGUAAAUAAUAAUAAUAGACGCUGCGGUGGAUCCUUCAACUUCAUCGCCAACACCAUCUGAACACGGUAGACACACACACACACACACACACACACACAUAUAUAUAUAUAUAUAUCGCUCUCUUGGCUUCACAAUUGUCACACAACUCUGCUCACACUCAGUUGGUUCGCUUCCUUUCGCGAUCGAAACAUUGAAUAUUGAUAUUGUGAUAUCUACGGCAUGGCGAGACCUUUCACUCUGACAAUACAUAUGGAUGAAACGUCAGGAGAGAAUGCUUCUGGAACAUGGCCAUACAGCUUGGAAAACGCACAACAACCAAUGAUUCCGGCCAUGGAAGCCUUUGACAACACACUGGGAGAUGUAGUUCUCUAGGCCUGUCGCCUCCUCUGCCAAACGACAUGCUAUAGGACCCUGGGAGGUCUAGUUUUACAAGGGCCAGAACUAGAGAGUGCUGCUGCCAUGCUGAACUGGUAUUCCCAGUGGCCCUCAAUGUAAACAGGCAUGGUUUUGGGUCAGGAAGUUUCUCUUUGCUUGUAAAACUACUCUUGAAAACAUGCCAAUGUAAGUAGAUCAAUAGAUACUGCUCCGGCGGGACGGUAACAGUGCUCCAUGCAGUCAUGCCAGUGGCUACAUGACCUUGGAGGUGUCUACGGACAAUGCUGGCUCUUCAGCUAAGAAAUGGAGAUGAGCACCAACCCCCAGAAUCGGACACGACUGGAAUUAACGUCAGGGGAAAACCUUUACCUUUAACCAAAAUUGUAUUUACAUGUAAUAUUGAUAAUUAUAUUAUAACGCAAUACAAUAUAAUACUAAUAGUAAUAUAAUAAUAAUAAUAAUUAUAUAUUACAUGUUUUUUUUACUAAGGAUAAUACAGUAUGAUGGCAUAGUGCUAUAUAGUAAUAUAGGAAUGUGUUGUAGAAGUUCCAUAGUGCAUCACCCCCUAUGAGAGAGCCAUGGGACCACGGCAAACUGCAGAUCCCGGAGGCCACAGCACCGGGCCACGGCAAUGGGAAGGGGUGCCAAACCAUCCCUAUAUUGCCCCGUCGCAGUGGGGUGAGUCAGUGGCAUGAUUGAGAUGCCCUUGCAAAACUAUAACUCCCAGUAUUGCAGCCUUGAGCAAUGGAGAAGCCUCUGUGCUGACACAAUAAUAUUGAUAUUAUUGCUCAAGGCUGCACUUCCCGAUUGGGCCACGUGAUGGCAGCAAAAGACUGCAGAUGACAAUCUCAAGGCAAUAUUGGGGAAAAUAUAACACUGAGGCUGCACUUCCCUAACUGACCAUUUGAUGGCAGCACAGGGCCAAUAAUCACAAUCCCAAGGCAAGUGCAAUAUUCCUCUGUCCACAGGAGGGCGACAAACGGAAAAGCCAUAGGGUUUAAUUGGAAUAUCAUUGAUCUUUCUUUGAUCCAGGGCACUCUUAAUUAAUAUUAAUACUACUAAUAAUAAUCUUGGGAGGUAGAGGUUUGCAAGGCCUUUCACCCCCUCUGCCCAAGAGCCCUGCCAAACUACAUCUCCCUCCAUCCCAUACAAACUCUGCAACAGCUCAAUGCCAUUGGAGCCUAGGAGAUAUAAACCCCCCUUGCUUAGUUUUCCAAUAAGAAUAAAAUAAUAAGAUUGAAAUAAUAAUAAAACUUUAUUUCUAGACUGCCCUCUCUCCCCAGAGGAUGCCUGCCAUAGAUGUGGGCGAAACGUCAGGAGAGAAUGCUUCUGGAACUUGGCCAGACAGCCCGGAAAAUACACUACAACCCAGUGAUUCUGGCCAUGAAAGCCUUCAACAACACACUGGGAGAUAUAGUUCUCUUGUCCUUUCGCUUCCUCUGCCAAACGACAUGCUAUAGGACCCUGGAAGGUCUAGUUUUACAAGGGUUCAAACCAGAGGUGCUGCUGCCAUGCCAAACUGCAACUCCCAGGAGCCCACAACGUAGACAGUCAUGGCUUUGGGUCAGGAAGUUGUUCUUUGCGGUCUAGGACCCACAGAUUCCAAUUCGACUCCUUCCAGUGAUGAGGCUCCAGCAUUCGUGGGUAGAAGAGGCGACAGGCAAAACUUCAACUCCCGGGAUAUUAUUGUUGUUGUUGUUGUUGCUGCUGCUAGUAGCCGUAGUAACACUUGUUGCCUAUGCCAUCAGUUGGGGGGCCCUCCCCCCAUCACCAUCUGAUGCUCUGGGGCCAAUAUACAACAUAAUAUAGAAUAAUAUAUAUAUUGUCUAUACAUAUAGUAUUGAUAAUUAUAUUAGAAUGUAAUACAAUGUAAUACCAAUAGUAAUGUAAUAAUAUUAAUUAUAUAUUACAUGUGAUAUUACUAAUAAUAAUACAGUAUGAUGUCUUAGUGCAAUGUAGUAAUAUAUAACGCUAAUGUUGUUCUAUGCUAAUAUAGAAUAUAUUGUACGUACAUAUAAUUUGUAAGCCACUCUGAAAGCAGGAAGCCAAUAUGAAAGGAAAAAAACCAAAAAAUUAUGGGUUCGAUGCAGUAAAUAAAACUCAAGGCUGCACUUCUCGAAUAUGCCACGUGAUGGCAGCAAAGGAUUGCAGAUGAGAAUCUCAAGGCAAUUUUGGGGGGAAAUAUAACACUGAGGCUGCAAUUCCCUAACUGACCAUUUGAUGGCAGCAGAGGGCUAAGAAUCAGAAUCUGAAGUCAAGUGCAAUAUUCUUCUGUCCACAGGAGGGCGACAAACGGAAAGGCCAUAAGGGUUUAAUGGGGAUCUCAUUGAUAUUACUUUGAGCCAUGGCUAUCUUAAAUAAUACUAAUAUUACUAAUAAUAAUCUAGGGAGUUAGAGGUUUGCAAGGCCUUUCGCCCCCUCUGCCCAAGAGUAAUGGUGCCUUGCCAAACUACAACUCCCACCAUCCCAUACAACCUCUGCAACAGCUCAAUGCUAUGGGAACCUCAGUGAUAUAGUUCGCUAGGCCUUUCGCCUCCUCUGCCAAACUACCUGCUAUAGGACCCAGGGAGGUCUACUUUUACAAGGGCCCAAACCAGAUAGUUCUGGUGCCAUGCCAAACUGCAGCUCCCAGGAGCCCUCAAUGUAGACAGGCAUGGCUUUGGGUCAGGAAGUUUCUCUUUGCUUGUAAAACUACUUUUGAAAACAUGCCAAUGUGAGUAGAUCAAUAGGUACCGCUCUGGCGGGAAGGUAACGGUGCUCCAUGCAGUCAUGUCUGUGGCCACAUGCCCUUGGAGGUGUCUAUGGACAAUACUGGCUCUUCGGCUGAGAAAUGGAGAUGAGCACCAAACCUCAUAGUCGGUCACGAAAACCUUUACCUUUAACCUAUAUUGUAUAUACAUAUAAUAUUGAUAAUUAUAUUAUAAAGUAAUACAAUAUAAUACAAUAUAUUAAUAUAUAUUAUAAAUAAUAAUGCAGUGUGAUGUUAUAGUACAAUAUACUAAUAUAUAAUGCUAAUGGUGUGCUUUGCUAAUAAUAAAAUAUAUUGCACGUACAUCUAAUUUUAAGCCAUUUUGAAAGCAGGAAGGAAGAAUGAAAGGAAAAUAGAAGGAAAAAGCCCCAAAAGUUAUGGUUUCAAGGCAGCAAAGAAAAACUCAAAUAUUUAUAAAAAGGAGAGUUAAAGUGCGAUAACUGCUCACUAUCCCAGGCCUGCGAGUCUACAGGAAUUCCAGACAGGAAACAAUAAGGGCCA
rnacentral:lncRNA from 11 species